AUUGAACGCUGGCGGCAGGCCUAACACAUGCAAGUCGAACGAGUGGCGGACGGGUGAGUAAUGUCUGGGAAACUGCCUGAUGGAGGGGGCUAACUACUGGAAACGGUAGCUAAUACCGCAUACCCUCGGAUGUGCCCAGACUGGAUUAGCUAGUAGGUGGGGUAAAGCUUCACCUAGGCGACGAUCCCUAGCUGGUCUGAGAGGAUGACCAGCCAAACGGGAACUGAGACACGGUCCAGACUCCUACGUGAGGCAGCAGUGGGGAAUAUUGCACAAUGGGCGCAAGCCUGAUGCAGCCAUGCCGCGUGUAUGAAGAAGGCUUUCGGGUUGUAAAGUCCUUUCAGCGGGGAGGCGUUACCCGCAGAAGAAGCACCGGCUAACUCCGUGCCAGCAGCCGCGGUAAUAC
rnacentral:rRNA from 1 species